rnacentral:lncRNA from 1 species
GUGGUGGUGUUUACAGUCUAACACCCUGACCCAUCGUGGGAGCCCAGGGUCAAAGCCAGCAGCUGCGGGAUCGUCACACCCUUACCCUUUAAUCCCAGCGAUGCUGAGCCGGCUUCCAUCCCCUCGCUGAGCUAGCCAGCUGUCUGACUGCUUGAAAAUGGCGGAAGAGGAAGAGGGCGGCGUGGAGGAGGGGGACGUGUUCCUAGCAUUUGCCCAGGGUCCCAUUCCUCCUCGGGGGCCCGUGCGGCAGGCUUUGGACAAGAUCUUCCUCGCCUUCUUGGUCCUCUUCCUGACUCUGCUGAUGCUGGAGGCUGCUUACAAACUGCUGUGGCCCCUGCCAUGGGCCAAGUUUCAGGACUGGCUCCUGAGGACCCCUGAGGAGGAGGCAGCUCUGGUGCUCUGAGCAUCUUCAUAGACCACCUGUCCUUGCUACUGAGAAUGAGAACUAACUGGAGACUGGGAAGGCAGUGAGAUCAGAGGUGGGUCUUACCUUUUUUCUUUUUCUUUUUUUUUUUUUUUUUGUUUUUUGAGACACUGCCCCCCCCAUUCAUGCUUCUUGUCACCCCGCCCUUCUGCGCAGCACGUGGUGGUGUUUACAGUCUAACACCCUGACCCAUCGUGGGAGCCCAGGGUCAAAGCCAGCAGCUGCGGGAUCGUCACACCCUUACCCUUUAAUCCCAGCGAUGCUGAGCCGGCUUCCAUCCCCUCGCUGAGCUAGCCAGCUGUCUGACUGCUUGAAAAUGGCGGAAGAGGAAGAGGGCGGCGUGGAGGAGGGGGACGUGUUCCUAGCAUUUGCCCAGGGUCCCAUUCCUCCUCGGGGGCCCGUGCGGCGGGCUUUGGACAAGAUCUUCCUCGCCUUCUUGGUCCUCUUCCUGACUCUGCUGAUGCUGGAGGCUGCUUACAAACUGCUGUGGCCCCUGCCAUGGGCCAAGUUUCAGGACUGGCUCCUGAGGACCCCUGAGGAGGAGGCAGCUCUGGAACUCUGAGCGUCUUCAUAGACCACCUGUCCUUGCUACUGAGCCCAGCUCACUCAAAGAUUUAUUAUAUGUACGUACACUGUCGCUGUCUUCAGACACCCCAGAAGAGGGCAUCAGAUCUCAUUAAGGAUGGUUGUGAGCCACCAUGUGGUUGCUGGGAUUUGAACUCAGGACCUCUGGAACAGCAGUCAGUGCUCUUAACCGCUGAGCCAUUUCUCCAACCCUUAAGAGUGUAUUUUAUUUCCUUUUGAUUUCCUGCAAGUAUCAUGGUUUCAGUUUUCUUUCUGGCUGUAAGACUCCAUUGUAUGUCCGAACCACAUUUUAUCUGUUUUACGGGCCAGUUGGCUGCUUCUGUUCUUUUGCCUAUUGCAAUCGCUACAGCAAUAAACAUGGAUGUGUACGUGGUGUUCUGACUUAAAUUUCUUCAAGUAUCUAUCCAGGAGCAAUACAUCUAGGACAUGUUAGGUCUUAGGCCGUGCAUAGGUCCAGAGAUGGGUCCUGGCCCACCUCAAGCUGGACUCUAGAAGAGUCCCUGGCAGUUAGACAAAGGCCAGAAUUCCCCCAGGACCUUGUGAAACAGGCUCCUGUCUGCAGAAAGGAUGUUUCCCUUGCCUCUGGAAAAAGGACACAAGGCUCAGCAGUGUGCC